UUCCAAUGUGAGAGACAGAAUCCCUGGGGU
rnacentral:piRNA from 1 species